rnacentral:rRNA from 1 species
GUACACUCCUGCGGGAGGCAGCAGUGAGGAAUAUUGGACAAUGGGUGGAAGCCUGAUCCAGCCAUCCCGCGUGCAGGAAGACGGCCCUAUGGGUUGUAAACUGCUUUUAUCUGGGGAUAAACCUACUUACGUGUAAGUAGCUGAAGGUACCAGAAGAAUAAGCACCGGCUAACUCCGUGCCAGCAGCCGCGGUAAUACGGAGGGUGCAAGCGUUAUCCGGAUUUAUUGGGUUUAAAGGGUCCGUAGGCGGACUGAUAAGUCAGUGGUGAAAUCCGACAGCUUAACUGUCGAACUGCCAUUGAUACUGUUAGUCUUGAGUAAGGUUGAAGUGGCUGGAAUAAGUAGUGUAGCGGUGAAAUGCAUAGAUAUUACUUAGAACACCAAUUGCGAAGGCAGGUCACUAAGUCUUAACUGACGCUGAUGGACGAAAGCGUGGGGAGCGAACAGGAUUAGAAACCCGUGUAGUCCC